rnacentral:rRNA from 1 species
AGAGUUUGAUCCUGGCUCAGGACGAACGCUGGCGGCACGCUUAACACAUGCAAGUCGAACGAGAGAAGAGGAGCUUGCUUUUCUGAUCUAGUGGCGGACGGGUGAGUAACACGUGAGCAAUCUGCCUUUCAGAGGGGGAUACCGAUUGGAAACGAUCGUUAAUACCGCAUAACAUAAUUGACCGCAUGAUUUGAUUAUCAAAGAUUUAUCGCUGGAAGAUGAGCUCGCGUCUGAUUAGCUAGUUGGUAAGGUAACGGCUUACCAAGGCGACGAUCAGUAGCCGGACUGAGAGGUUGAUCGGCCACAUUGAGACUGAGACACGGCCCAGACUCCUACGGGAGGCAGCAGUGGGGAAUAUUGCACAAUGGAGGAAACUCUGAUGCAGCGAUGCCGCGUGAGGGAAGAAGGUUUUAGGAUUGUAAACCUCUGUCUUCAGGGACGAAAAAAGACGGUACCUGAGGAGGAAGCUCCGGCUAACUACGUGCCAGCAGCCGCGGUAAUACGUAGGGAGCGAGCGUUGUCCGGAAUUACUGGGUGUAAAGGGAGCGUAGGCGGGAUCGCAAGUCAGAUGUGAAAACUAUGGGCUUAACCCAUAAACUGCAUUUGAAACUGUGGUUCUUGAGUGAAGUAGAGGUAAGCGGAAUUCCUAGUGUAGCGGUGAAAUGCGUAGAUAUUAGGAGGAACAUCAGUGGCGAAGGCGGCUUACUGGGCUUUAACUGACGCUGAGGCUCGAAAGCGUGGGGAGCAAACAGGAUUAGAUACCCUGGUAGUCCACGCCGUAAACGAUGAUUACUAGGUGUGGGGGGACUGACCCCUUCCGUGCCGCAGCAAACGCAAUAAGUAAUCCACCUGGGGAGUACGACCGCAAGGUUGAAACUCAAAGGAAUUGACGGGGGCCCGCACAAGCAGUGGAGUAUGUGGAUUAAUUCGAAGCAACGCGAAGAACCUUACCAGGUCUUGACAUCGUAUGCAUAGCUCAGAGAUGAGUGAAAUCUCUUCGGAGACAUAUAGACAGGUGGUGCAUGGUUGUCGUCAGCUCGUGUCGUGAGAUGUUGGGUUAAGUCCCGCAACGAGCGCAACCCUUACUGUUAGUUGCUACGCAAGAGCACUCUAGCAGGACUGCCGUUGACAAAACGGAGGAAGGUGGGGAUGACGUCAAAUCAUCAUGCCCCUUAUGACCUGGGCCUCACACGUACUACAAUGGCUGUCAACAGAGGGAAGCAAAGCCGCGAGGUGGAGCGAACCCCUAAAAGCAGUCUUAGUUCGGAUUGUAGGCUGCAACCCGCCUACAUGAAGUCGGAAUUGCUAGUAAUCGCAGAUCAGCAUGCUGCGGUGAAUACGUUCCCGGGCCUUGUACACACCGCCCGUCACGCCAUGGGAGUCGGUAACACCCGAAGCCUGUAGUCUAACCGCAAGGAGGACGCAGUCGAAGGUGGGAUUGAUGACUGGGGUGAAGUCGUAACAAGGUA